CGAACGAAGAGUUUGAUCCUGGCUCAGGAUGAACGCUGACAGAAUGCUUAACACAUGCAAGUCGACUCGAGUCUUCGGACUUGGGUGGCGCACGGGUGAGUAACGCGUAAAGAACUUGCCUCUUAGACCGGGACAACAUCUGGAAACGGAUGCUAAUACCGGAUAUUAUGGUUUUUUCGCAUGGAGGAAUCAUGAAAGCUAGAUGCGCUAAGAGAGAGCUUUGCGUCCCAUUAGCUAGUUGGUGAGGUAACGGCC
rnacentral:ncRNA from 1 species